rnacentral:lncRNA from 1 species
GGAGGGCGGGAGGCCUCGAGGCCCGUAACGGUGUCUCGCUGCGACCCGCCAUGGUGGGGCGUAUGUCGGCGCGGAAGCGGCUGGCAAAGCCCCUCCUCUUCGGCAGUAUCCUGUGUGCGUUGGCCACCGCCUUCGUGUACAGGCACCACUUCUUCCCCGAGGUGGAGGAGCUCCGUGCCAGGGAGUAUGAGCGCUAUGAGAAGAAGCGCCAAGAUGUGGUGGAGAGGCGCCAGAAGCAGCUGGCUGAGCUGGCAGAGAGGAAAGCUUCCCCAUAGGCUGUGAUUGGAAGGAGAGGCUUUGCUCUGGGGACGCUGCUCCUUCAGUGGGGAUGGGGAGCUGUGUUGGGAAAUGAAGAAUGAAUAUAUACAACUCUCGCACAUGGCACACGGCUCACAUGGACUGGGUGAAGUUUCCAUCAACCUGGCAGGGAUGUUGGCUGGUGACUUUACUCCCUCAGCUUGCUUGAUAUGCACAAGUGAUGGCUUCAAAUAUCUACCAAGUGGUAUCAUGUUCUGUUAGUCAGAUCAGAGCUCUGACAGUCUGGAGGUGUGGGUUCAAUUCCUAGCUCUGCAGUGAUCUGCUUUGUGUGAUGUUGGGCAAGAUACUCAACCUCUCGGGUCAUCUCUGCUAGGAAAAGUAGUUGAGUUUAGAUUGGACUUAAGUAAUGUGCUAGCUGAGCCUAACCUAAAUUUGACCCUUUUCCUAGUUUAGAUACCUUUAGCUAGUCAAAUUGUAGCCUAGAAGAUGUUACCUGGCAUCUACACCAGGAAAAAAAAAGUCAGGUUUUGCUAACCUGUAUUAGCCAAGCUUGAUCUGAACUUGACCACUUUUCCUAAUCAAGAAAAACCCUCUGUGCCUCAGCUUUCCUAUUUGUACAGUGGGGGUAAUAAUGCUUGCCCACUUAUAUGAAGCAUUCUGAGAUCCUUGGAUGAAUGGUGCUAUAUAAGUGCGAAAAUAACUGACAGGUGAUAAUAUACCUGGGCUAAUUGCCAGGUAGGGUGUGAGGUGUCCAGAAUUUUUCUGGAUCUCUUCAAUGUAACAACAUUGUAUAUCUUAUCUUAAGUGAUUUUUGUAAUCUGUUGUUUCUGCCAUGAUAGUGUUGCACACCACCAAAUAAGACUUUAACCACAACUUCUGUCUGAUAAGUCAUCUUUAAGAAUCAGAGGGGUAGCCGUGUUAGUCUGGCUCUGUAAAAGCAGCAGAGAAUCCUGUGGCAUCUUUAAGAGUGACUGAUGAGCUUAAUUUAGGCAUAAAAUAACAACCAGUGGGUUGCACCCAGGGAUUGAUUUAUUGCUCUGAGUGGCAUUCACAGCAGGCUUCUUACUGUUAAUUGGAAUGUUUUCUUCCCUAUAUUUUAUGCUGAAAAACAAAGGGACCACUCUCCCUUGAAAUUACAGAUGUAAAUAAACAAAUACCAUGUCUAACUCUUCCUGUAGUA